UUCUGUUGCUGGAAUCAUCAACCCUGGCUCUGAAGGGUUUCAGAAGCUCUUCUUCGGACAGGAGGAGAUCGCUAUCCCUGUCCAUGCCGCCAUUGAGGCAGCCUGUGUUGCUCUAAAAACCGCGGAUGUAUUCAUCAACUUCGCAUCUUUUAGGAGGUUUGUAUUAACAAAACUUACCAUUGUCUCUUUGUGAUACUUUUGUUGAUCGGUUCGGAUUUUGGUUAGUUUGGUUCAGAAUUUUGGUUAACUUAUUGCUCGGUUUAAGUUUGAAGUUUUAAUUUUAGAACUUAUUUUAGAAUUUUUAGAAUUUUUUAAUUUUUAUUUUCUUUUUUAAAUUUGACAUUUUAAUUUUAGAUCUUAUUUUAUUUUCAAGUUUGAAAUUUUAAUUUUAAUUUUUUUUGAAUUUUUUAGAUUUUUUUUUUUUUUUUUUUUACAAUUUUUUUCUAAUCUCAUUCGAUUUUUUUGUAUUAUUAUUUUUUUAUUUAAAAAAAAAGAAACCGACACGUUAUUAUUUUAACCUAUAAAAUAAAUAGUACCGGUCGUAUAUGAAAAAAAAACAUCUCUAAAGAUUUAUUAUGAUAAAAAUGCAACUUUGAAGAUUUAAAGUGAUAGUCAAAAAACUUCAAUAUUUAAAGUGCUAGAAAAUUACACUUUCGGUGUUUAAAAUGUGAUUUUCUCUAUCUAAAUUGGUUAUUGGGUGACGUGAGUGGCUGUUUUUCAUACUUUUAUCAAUUAUAUUAUAAUGUUUUGAAUACUAUAAAAACUAAGAAAAUAAAAUAAAAUAGAAUUCAUAUGAUUCGAUGGGUCUGUUUCUGUUAAAUUCCUUCUCUGUAAUCGGUGUUUUGAAACUCGACCCGAACCCGCGGUUGAACCGGUAAAUCCGGUGAUCCAGAAAAAAUCUGGUUUGGGUUUUGUGAAAAACCCAAAAUUUAGAAACCCGCAAAAAACUACUCAAACUCAGAACUUGAUACCGGUUGAACCACCGAUUAAAUCAAUAAAUAACUUUUACUUUUUUUUUUUUAGUUUUUAGAUAAAAAGUUAGGUUUUCCUUUUUCAGUUUUAUAUUUUUAUUAGAUUUUCAUGAAGAUUUCAUUAUGCCACCAGAAAAAAAAUGAAAUGAACAAUGAUAGAGAGAAUCAAAAUUAGCUGAUAUGAUUUGAUGUUAAUUUAUUUCUGUUAUUGACAAUUUAUUACAAUGAUCUUUUAUUUUUGGUUUAUUUUGAAUUUGAAGUUUAUUUAUCAUUCACAUUAGACAUUAAUAUUUUCAAUCUCAAGUUCCAACUUUUUAAAAUUUUCAUCUCUAUUUUGAUUUUCUUCAUUCAAAAUAUAUUUGUUUUCUUUUAAAAGCUUAAAGUAUGAAUGAUUAUGUUCACUUAUUUAAAUAUUUAUGAAUAUUAUAUCUUGAUUUUUUAGAUGUCAUAACUCUUAUUUUGUUACAAAAAUUUUUAAAUAGUCUAAAUAAUUUUUUGAUAUCUUUUUAUGUCAAAGGAAAAUAAAAAUAUAAAAACUAAAAUUUAGUAAUUUUAAAUACUUUUUAAACAUAAAAUAUAUACAUAUCCAAACUAUUAUUUUAUGUUUUAAAAACAUUUAAAAAAUAUUAAACUUUAGUUUUUAUAUAUUUAUAAGUAAAAUAUUAUUAUAUAAUAAAAUUAAUUUAUUUAUUAAUCUGCAGUUCAUCCGCAGUCGAUCCAGUGAUCCGGUAAGUCGUUCGGUGGGGGUUUAAAAACAUUGUCUGUAAUUGAUUAUGACAUUUAUUUGCCAUGUCAGUAUCGCAAUCCACGUCAAUUCGUGCUAAUCGACCCAAACAAAUCAUUUUCGUUCAGAAAAUAGUACCCAAGACGGAUUCGUAUCUAGUUCAUUUUUUUUUUGGUAAAAUUUUUAAAAAAGGUGUUUUCACCUCUUUGCCGGGAACCCAAGCAAUGUAAAUAAUCCUUCCCAGCGCGAAUGACUCUCGUUUAUAUCUUAAAGUUUCAGACUGGCCAGAAUAUUAUAUGAAGACUUGUACUAACGAGUAAAAAACAUUUUGAAUAGAUCUAACCACACAAUACAUAUAUGGCCAUAUAUAAAACUAUGUUUUGAAGAGGCUAAUCUUUCUCAAAUUUGAUAAUUCAAUCGGUGGUUACACAUAAAAGUUAAUAUUUCGAAACUCAACAUGACUUUUUGAUUGAUGCACGUUACAUGAUAUGCAGCGAUAUAGAUGACUAGAUGUGGUUGAUAUAGAGUUCAUCUUUAUCCAUACAAAAACAAUAGCAUUGAUGAAUGAGUAAUAUCUAUAUAUCUGAAAUAAAUUUAAGAUAUUAUAUAUGUGAAUUACAAAAUAACGAAAAUGAAAAAGAUAGUUUCAGGAUAAAAAGGUUUGUGGUUUGCUUGGAGCCACCGAGCCACUGCCAACUAACAAUAUCUGUUUAUAUACAUUCCCCUGUUCAUAUGCUCGUAUAUGCAUGCACAUCUCUUCAUAUAAAGCCAUUCUCACACGUAUUAUUGUAUAGGAUUAAUGUGUUGAUUAAAUUGGCAACGUAGCGUGUCUUUGAUGCAAGAAUGCGUCUACUUGUUUCCAACCUUCCAAUGAUAUUACACUCUAUCCACACAACUCAUCGCAUUUAAUCAUACUAUCUAUAUAUUUUACAAGCAUCAAAAUUGUAGUUUUUUUUUCUAAAAUCUUUGAGCUCAUAUACUAAGUUAUAGUUAUAAAACGAGUAUACUGAUCGGUGUUGCCAUUGCCAUUUGUGCUUUAUCUAUAGAAGUUUAAUACAGUUGUUUAGGAAAAAAUAAUUGUAAGGCUGGACCAAAUAAGCCUAAUUUGAUGACGAAACGUAAAUUAUGAUCCUAUCCAUAAGCCAUCAAAAAGACCUACAUGAUAUAGUGCUUCUUUAUUCUGUUUGCUUAAUACUUAAUCAAUAGCGCAAUCUUAUAAACAUUUGAAAGAACUAACCUGGAGGAUUUUAGUAAAACAAAAAUGACUAUAAUCGUUCAAAAGCCAGAGUUGCAUAUAAGAUACAGAUAUAUCACAAUAAAAAUUUACAUGUUGGAGAAUUUAGAGAAAUAGGUCUGGUCAUCAACUUGGAUGAAUUUAGCCUCGUUUAACUAUUGGAUUACGUCUCACUUUCACAAAGUUGCUCGUCUAUUAUUUGUGUCAUGAAAAUAUUAACAAAAAUAUUUGCAUUAACAAAAGAAAUCUAAUCUAUUAGGCUACAUGAGCUCAUAACGAAAAAGACAACGACCAAAUCCCAAAUAGAACCAUGGUUCCUUAACAUUACGUUCAUAUAACAAAAAGAAAACAAAUAUCAUGAUUAUUCAACAAGUGAUAGCAUAAGGAAAACAUAAACAUGGUUUUCAGCGAAGUUUUAAGUAAAUCUUAAAGGAGGGUGAUGACACAACAUGUCAUAAAUAAAAUUUUGGUUCAUCAUAUGGAGCUAAUCAAAUGUCCUUCCAAUGCAUAUUUCAACAAUAAAAGGCAUUUUGACAAAAAA